ensembl:lncRNA
GCAACAUUAAUUGAUUUUAUUGCACUUUCUGAAGUCACUGUAUAUUACGCUCAAGCAAGUUUGCUCUGAAAGCGUUGCUCUUUCCAUCGUCGCAUGAAAGCGAGGAAGGGGAAUUACUGAAGCCACUGCAGCCUCCAGUCUUCUUUUUUAGCCUGCUGUGAUCUUGAUGGCAAAUGCGAACUGCAAAUUACAAGUUUCUAAUAAUCCGCGCUGUUACAGCACACAGCCCCUGUAUCGCCGGAGCACUGCGCCCAUCCAGCCUUCACCUGGUGGACCUCACUCAACACCAGAGAUCGCCCUGUGCUCCCCGGCUGCACCCCGCCCCGAGCCGAAGCCGCCCCGCACCUCGCACCGGGCAGCCUCAGCCCCACGGCUCCGGCGCUGCCCGCGGACCGGACCCAGCCAGGCUCCGUCGGCCCGCAGCCCCGCACAGAUGCACUUGGAGGCACGGGGGUGACGGAAGAACCUUGUUAAAUGGACAGGGAUAACUACUGGAGGUGACAGAAGACACGUGCAGGUUUCAGGAAGGACAGCAGAACUGCCGCUGUGAUGACAAGGUUCCAACAACAAAAUCUGAAGAGAUCACCCAAGGUGGGUCAGAAGUAAACAGGCUGACCAUGUGGUGACAAAGCAGUAGGAUAAGAGGAUGGCCAAUUGGAAAAGAAAGUAAUUUUCUGUCCCCAACUACAACUGACCUGUUGGGACCAAUACUGGAAGUGAGCCACUGCACGGAGCAGCGUGACCCCUUGGGAGAAAGGACCAUAGGGCACCUGGGCAUCUGUUGCACCAAAUACAGCAUGUUGUGUGAUGAAAAGAUGGUCGCUCUUCAAAAGAAGAAGUUCCAGUAUUUGCUAAAACAGUUCUAUACAGGUUAAUACUCGAAUAUCUGUAGUAGGCCUUGCCAGGGGAAGUUUCCAGGAACAGUACUAAAUUUAUGAUGAAUGGCAACAGAUGGUCAUUGGAAAUAGUAACUUAAGGAAACGUGAUAUGACUACGAUAGGCAAUGCAAGCCGAAGGACAUCAUUCACAGCCUCUGUCAAGUCUCCAACAAGAAGCCUAAGUAUAUGCCUAUCUUGAAGCAUUCGAGCAAUCCCUUUCAAGUCAGUAGUAAUCAGGUUUUUAAGUUCCUUCUGUGUCUACAGGUUUAUUUUCGUUUUAACUAACUGUAAAGCUUAUACACUAUGUGGUAUAAACACUAAUAGAACAAAUUCAGCACUGCUGUAAAGUGGCACAGUUCCACUGACAUCAAUUGAUCAAUGUCUUGCUCAAGACCUGGUAUUUAUGUUUAUAAGCACUUUCUAGGCUGUACACUGUUUCGCUUGCCUUGUUUUGCUUUCAGCAAAGCUCUUUUUAGUACAACAACUCACCGUCUUUCUAGUCAGACUUUGUUUAUAAAACCCUUAUUGUUCAGGAACAAUACAGUUGUGACCUGUUAGAAUGAAGGGCUGCAAUUGGGGCCCUCUCCAUACUUUCUCAGGACACGCUUUGGGUUAGAGUGAAUGCAACACACAGCCCUAUUGAUGUCAGCCAGGAGGGGAAAAAUAGAUCCCCCCAAUAAAUCUAAACAUAAAUCUUUUUGCUCUAUCUCACCAUCUGUAUAAAGCAACCUAGAGCACAAAAUUAAUAAGUAGAGCAAGUAUCCCCAAGCCUACAAGGCUGAAAUACUGCUUGCCAUUGUAUUUGGUUUAUACUUUGUUUGCGUGAAGGAAUUUAUAGGCACAGAAAGCAACAGGUGGAAACAUAACUUGGGUAAGACAAAGUGAGCAAGAUUGACUCUAACAUCAUGAAUAUGCUUCAGUCUUGUGUGUCAGUUCCCUCUGACCUCUUCUAAAUUUCUUCAGGAGGAUGUUUGUGACUUCUUAUUGUUUCUUAGUUUUAGAUCUCUUAGGGCAAGUGUUUCAGUGAACUUUCAAGGGGGAAGCGAUUUUUGAAACUGCAACAAAUUUCUUCUGCACUCUGAAUAAUAACUCAUGCACUUAGACUUAUUCAAUCAAAGGACACACCAAAAACGUUGUCCUAAUACCUGAGUGGCAUGUGGGGCCUUAACUGGUAGCAAGCAACUCAGUUUCACUGAAAUCAACAAGCCGUGCUAGCUUACACUAACUGUGGAACUGCCCUUCUGCCUUAGGUUGGCCCUUUUGUAUUACACAGCCUUUUAUAAAGGAUAGUACUAAUUUUUCAUGCAAGUGUAAGACACAGCUGUUGCAUUUUCUUCCUAGUCUGUAGGCACCUUUAAACCUCCUCUGCUAAUUUUCCGUAUUUAUCAAAGCUGCUCUCACAGAUGCAUAUGUAGUUAAGAGAGAGGAGUGGAUCAUAAGCAGCGUUGUCUCCUUUUCCUUUCCUUAUUGUCAGCAUUGUCGUACAAGUUCCUCAGGGCACAGCACACACAGUUUUGCAUCUAUGACUCCAUGCGCAGAUGUGAUCCUGACUGUAUCAGAUAUUCUACUAACUAAAAUGAACUAUACAUAGUAACUGUAAUACAACUGACACUACUAAUACUAAUUUUCCUUGUCUUUCUUCUCUAAUUCAUUAGAUUAUUGAAUUCCCCCUGCCAUCCCAAUGCUUCAUUUUCUACGCCUUCUUUGCAUGCUUAGGAUCGCUACAGCUUACAAGAUACUAAACCCAAACCAUUUUAAUUACAAAAGACUGAGGGGCCCCAGAAGCUUUCAUGACCAUCUAGAUGUACCCUAGUUACUAACAGAGUAGAAAAAAUCUUCAGUGUAUUAAUAGGGGGAAAGAAACAAGUAGAUAAGCCAGUAAAAAAUACUUAUUAGGAGAAUGAAACAUCAUCUAACCCUGGGUAAUUUUCGCAUUAUAAAGGACAUGCAGCAUCACCUGAUGAAAUGUAAACCUUUUACUAGUAGAGAUCUGUUCAGUGGAAAUCACUUCCUGAAUUCACUGAACUACAACACAGAAUAAUUAGUGCUGAGUAUAUAUUUAAAUACAAUAAUUCACUCAGUUGUUUCGACAAUGUUUAGAGUUGUAAUGAAAUAAACAAAAGCAUACAUCUUUAAUGCCUUUGACCCUUGCUAUUCAGAUUCUGAAGAAAUAGAAAAAACAAUUUCCGAAGUUAUAAAUAGUUUAAUUUCAACUAUUUCACUGCAUAAAACAUGUCUGCAAACAAGCUUUUCUCUCAUCUAUGCAUUAUGGAAAAAUCCUGUGGAGUUGUUUAUAUCAGUAUCUAUAUGUUGAUAAAAAAUUAAUAGCAAUAGCAGUCAAAAUUACAAGUUAAGUUUUACCAGUUUAUGUACACAUGCCCACACCAUACACGUAUGUAGUGACACACACACACACAUUCCCCUUUCUGAAUCCCACAGGCCUUGACUGAAGUAAUGUUGCUAUGAAAAACAAACGAAACUUCUUAUAAUUUAUUAGCUGGCUACGGAGUUUAAAUAUAAUCCACACGAAAUAUUUGGGCAGGGAACAAAGGCCCCAUACUGCAGAAAGGAAGGCCUUAGUUCAUUUAAAACCCAGUUCUGCCCCAAGGCGGAUCAAAAAACUUUUAUCAGACCCAGAAAUUAAAUGACCUUCAGACCAUGUCUAGCGGAUGAAUCCUGGGAAUACAGUAUUUUAGCGAAGCCUAACAGUACAAGUACAACAGGCUCAGUCACUUCUGGAAUACCACUAAUAACUCUGGUUUUCUAUUUUCGUCCCUAAUGUCACAGAGCAAUAACACGCACAAACUAAGCACUUGCAAUGAAACAGCCACAACUUUUUUUUUUUUUUAAAUGUUCUUUUGCGAAGGCACAUUCUGUCAUUCUGUUUUGGAGGUCAGGCUACAUCUCUUUUAAAUAUGACUUCCUGUAGUCAUUGGUCGAUAGUGCUAGCCCUCACUUGGAUUUACCAUGGUUUUUGAACAUGUUUAAGAACAGGAAGGAAGAUGGUCAAAGAACAGAGAAGUUGCUUCACAACAGAGCAGAGAACGGAAGAGUUUUCCAUAGCUUCAGUGGAUGAGGGCUCAGAUAACAACAUCUAAGUGUAUUCUAGAUGAUUAAUACAAUAUGAGCUUUCAACAUAAGUUUAAAUCACCACUCAGGAAAGAGAAAAAGAAAAAAAGCCAGGGAGAGCACCAAAGCAAGCAAACAAAUGGAACCUCCAGCCUGGUUGCUUAAACACAUGCUUCAAUGCGGCUUUCUGUCCAGCAUCAAUACAGCAACAACAGCACAACAGAUUUCCAGCCUGUGAGACUUUCAAGCACUACUGCAGUGAGCAACAACAGCAGAAAUCCAGCUUCAAUGAAAUCAUUUAUAAAUUUGAAUUACUACUUACAUUUUUGUAGUCAUUCUGACAAGAGGAUUUUUCUACGUAUUCCAUUUGAGCAGACCAUAUUCAAGUGCUUUGUAGCAAGUAGAUACUGUUCUAAACAUGAAAAAAAUAUCAAAAUAAAUAUUUAAUUAUUGCUAAGGACUCCAUCUUAAUCAAUUUCUACUAGAGGGAAAAUGUUAUUGUAAAUGCAUCAAAACUAAAGGCAUGUUAACAUGUGAUUUUGUAAAAUAACUGUACUCCUGAACCAAUGCAUAUUCAUCACAUAACCUUCUAUAGCAAAUUCCAGGGAACUUGAUUUAAAUUACUACUUUGAAAAUAGUUUGAUUCAAAAUAAUUAGCUAGGUAACAUUAUUGAAGAUGCACAGCUAUUGAUAAUACAACUUAUUAACAUCUGAUCAGUGUUCUCAAAUCUGUACCAACCAACCUGUACAUACCUACUCAAUGGCUAACCACUCCUAACGAUGUAGAAUUUCAACAGAAAAGGAUGGUAAUGAUGAAACAGAGCUGCUUCUUAUGCAUAAGGUUGACAUAAUGGAUCAGACCAGGAGAUGAAAUAAGGCAGGGAAUCCACUGCUGUUCCUCCAGGACUUGUGAAGAUAAAAAGGAAUAUCCAUCCAGCAACUUCAACAAAGAACUCAUUUUCUGUAAGGAAAAUAAGGAAAUCAAUUGAAAUUAAAGAUCUAAAAGGAACUCUUAAUAAUGCUCCUCUUCCCAUCCUAAG